UAUAUACUCCCUCCGUCUAACAAAAGAUGUCUCGACUUUGAUUAAAUUUGAAUGCAUCUACUCCCUCCGUCCCGAAUUAACUGUCUUAUGCAAAUCCACGACAGUUAAUUCAGGACGGAGAGAAUAUACACUAAGUCAUGUCUAGAUACAUUCAAAUUUUGACAAAUUUGAGACAUCUUUUGUUGGACUGAGGGAGUACAAG
rfam:Brachypodium distachyon strain Bd21 chromosome 3, whole genome shotgun sequence.